rnacentral:rRNA from 1 species
GAUGAACGCUGGCGGCGUGCUUAACACAUGCAAGUCGAACGAUGAAGCCCAGCUUGCUGGGUGGAUUAGUGGCGAACGGGUGAGUAACACGUGAGUAACCUGCCCUUAACUCUGGCAUAAGCCUGGGAAACUGGGUCUAAUACCGGAUAGGAGCGUCCACCGCAGGGUGGGUGUUGGAAAGAUUUAUCGGUUUUGGAUGGACUUGCGGCCUAUCAGCUUGUUGGUGAGGUAAUGGCUCACCAAGGCGACGGCGGGUAGCCGGCCUGCGAGGGUGACCGGCCACACUGGGACUGAGAGAGGGCCCAGACUCCUACGGGAGGCAGCAGUGGGGAAUAUUGCACAAUGGGCGCAAGCCUGAUGCAGCGACGCCGCGUGAGGGAUGACGGCCUUCGGGUUGUAAACCUCUUUCAGUAGGGAAGAAGCGAAAGUGACGGUACCUGCAGAAGAAGCACCGGCUAAGUACGUG